AAAGAAAUUACUUUUAUUUACCUUUUUUCAGGAUCACUUGGAAAACAAUAUGGAAAUAAUGUACCCAGGAGAAAAUAUAAGGCCUAUGAAAAAACUAGAAUGAAUAAGGCAUUCAAAGCUGUAAUGUGUGGUAAAAUGAAUGCCCAGGAUGCUGCUAUAACUUUUGGUGUACCUAGGACUACAUUAUAUGAUAAAGUGUUUAGAGAAAGAGCAAAACAUCCAAACCG
rnacentral:lncRNA from 1 species